rnacentral:rRNA from 1 species
UACGGGGGGAGCAAGCGUUGUUCGGAUUUACUGGGCGUAAAGGGCGCGUAGGCGGUCAGCACAAGUCAGUUGUGAAAUCUCCGGGCUUAACUCGGAAAGGUCAACUGAUACUGUGCGACUAGAGUGCAGAAGGGGCAACUGGAAUUCUCGGUGUAGCGGUGAAAUGCGUCGAUAUCGAGAGGAACACCUGCGGCGAAGGCGGGUUGCUGGGCUGACACUGACGCUGAGGCGCGAAAGCCAGGGGAGCGAACGGG